GCGAGUNNNNNAGACGUUUUUCUUCGGAGAAACUGAAAGUGGCGCACGGGUGCGUAACGCGUAUGCAACCUACCCUUAACAGGGGGAUAGCCCAGAGAAAUUUGGAUUAAUACCCCAUAGUACUACAAGAUGGCAUCUGAAAGUAGUUAAAGAUUUAUCGGUUAAGGAUGGGCAUGCGUGACAUUAGAUAGUUGGUGAGGUAACGGCUCACCAAGUCCACGAUGUCUAGGGGUUCUGAGAGGAUGAUCCCCCACACUGGUACUGAGAUACGGACCAGACUCCUACGGGAGGCAGCAGUAGGGAAUAUUGGUCAAUGGGCGAGAGCCUGAACCAGCCAUGCCGCGUGCAGGAAGACAGCUUUCUGAGUUGUAAACUGCUUUUAUAUGGGAAGAAAAAGCCCUUGCGAGGGAAAUUGCCGGUACCAUAUGAAUAAGCACCGGCUAACUCCGUGCCAGCAGCCGCGGUAAUACGGAGGGUGCAAGCGUUGUCCGGAUUUAUUGGGUUUAAAGGGUGCGUAGGCGGAUCUUUAAGUCAGUGGUGAAAUCCUGCAGCUUAACUGUAGAACUGCCAUUGAUACUGGAGGUCUUGAGUAUACUAGAGGUAGGCGGAAUUUAUGGUGUAGCGGUGAAAUGCAUAGAUACCAUAAAGAACACCGAUNGCGUANGCAGCUUACUGGAGUAUAACUGACGCUGANNCACGAAAGCAUGGGUAGCGAACAGNAUUAGAUACCCUGGUAGUCCAUGCCGUAAACGAUGANUNCUCGAUGUUGGCGAUAUACUGNCAGCGUCC
rnacentral:rRNA from 1 species